rnacentral:lncRNA from 1 species
UUAACAUUAAGCACAGCCCAUUAACAUGUAAUUAAAGACGGCUCACCAACGUCCAGACUUGGAAACAAUUCGAUCAAUUUUCAGGGAAUUUAUCACGGCACUCCUGCAGGCUACACAGUCCUGCUCCUUGCAGGAUAGAAAUUCAUUCCACCCUUUUUUCCUAUAUAAUAACGUAGCCUCCUCUCCAGGCAUUACAUCAAUCUUGAAAUCAAACAAAGAAAAGAAAGCAGACUGGUAGAAUCCGAAGAUGGCGGAUGUUGAAGCUGCAGAGAAUUCUAGUGGGAUGAUGAUUCUUUGAUGUCCGAUUAUGAGAUUGGAGAAGCUGAUAUCAAUUCUCCUUUAGCAGACGACGAAAUGGUAAUCGUGAUUACCAUAGAAAACGAUCGCUCUUCAGAUUUACGAACAGUGACCAGAAGAGAAUUUCGAGUGUUACGCGCUGACUUGAUCGCCAAGGAAUCAUCAAGAGAACUUAUAUCCAAGAUUAUUUCUCACCUCCACAUGCAAUUCCCUUCAAACUUGAAGGCAAGAAACGGUGUCUUCGAUUUUCUGGUGAAUUAUGUUUCCUUGUUGUCUGGCGAUCAAGACCGCAUAUUCUUGUACGUCCUUACACUGGUUUCUUUGUGUUAUCACGUUGCUUCUACCAAAGAAUGUGAUCGCGAAAAGUAUGACGUCGUUUUGCAAGCUUAUAGCUUCUUGUUCUCUGAAGUAUAACUGAUGUCAACAAUGAAGAAUCAGAACCGCCAUUGCACUCUUCUGUCUAUGAACUUUGUUCAUGAUGAUGAUGAAGAAUUUGAUCCCGCGUAUUUCAUUAAACCUGAGUUUUAAUUGCUAAUUUUCUGGAUGUACUCUUUUGCUUUCUCUCUGUAAGAAUAUGAAUCUAGACAAGGUUAUGAACCUUCAGCUUUUAUCAACUCUAAAUGAAUGUUACUGGUAUGCUAAUUAAACUUUUUAAUACUAAUUCAUAAAUAUAGUUAGUUUAUCACAACUGAUAAAUUAAUUACUUUGCUAACUAAAUAACAAUUUACAGUCCUAAAAAUAAAAUACUAAUUAUAUUUUUAAUCAAAGUAAUGGAAACUUAGAUCUGUUUUCUAUUUAUUGGAUCUCAAGUUUACUGUAUUAUAAGCCGAGGGCUUGGCUAAUCAAAAGUAAGCACUGAUGUGCUGAAUAAGCUUUAGCCUGGAAGUGGGAAGAUGAAGAUCCUAUGGUUUUUAUGGGUCAAUGGGUGGAAACAGUUGAAUUCAUAGCAUAACUUCCAUGAAAAAUGGGCUUUCAUGUCGUAGCAACCCACCUGGUACUUGAGACUUUCAGAGCUGAACAGAACACAAUUUCUCAAAUCGGAUUAAUCUUAGUUGCAAACAAAUUGUAUACAUUUUUCUCAAUUUGUAUCUCAUUUGAAAUGAUAUUCAUGUAUCACAAAUUCUUAGACUUUUUAAACCUUUGGAGAGUGGAGAGUAAAGAUAAUAGAUUUGGAACCAGAAAUACGGCACAAGCAAAGUACAAAUUGCUUCCUGCUGCUAAAUUAGAGUGGGCCACAAACACAUCUCUAGAGAAGAGAGAGAGAGAUCUAAUCUAAAUGCCUUUUUUCGCAUUAACAGAAGAUUCUCACUUUGUCAUUACAAGACUCACUUACACUCAAGAUAGAGCCUAUAUUAAUACUUAAUUUUUAAUUUAAUAUAGGAAAAUAAAUUAUCAUUUACACUUGAAAACUGAGUAAAUAUGAAGUGACAAUUAAGGUAAAAUAUGUUAGAUUCAAUAGAUAUGUGGAAUUUUAUUUAUUUUGAAUAAAACAGAGUAUCAUAUAGAAAAAAGAAUACUGCACCAAGACUACAAAUUGAGUAAGAAAAGAAUGUGUAUUGUAAAUUUUGUAAUCAGCUAAGUACAACACAAAACAUACAGUAAAUGAAUGAUUAUAUACAUAUAAAGAUCAAUAAUAAUAAUGUAAAAGAAUUUAAAAUAGAAAUAAGAAAUGGGAGGGGAAAAGGUAAUUAGAUAAAAAGAGAGAUACCUUUUAAGUUUUUAUGCAUAAAAAUGGAGAUGAUAACCAGGCAAAUUAAGAGCUACUACAGCAUAUAGGAGGCCGCACAAGCAAGCUAGACAUUAUAACCUAAGGGAGGAAAU